AGUGAAGAAGGGCACAUUGGUAGUCAGUGUCAGAAACCAAAGAGGGCGCAGACAAGUGGUAAAGUGUUCGCUUUGGUUGAGGAUCAGACAACUGUUAAGGACAUACUUAUUAGAGGUACAUGUUUCAUCAAUAGUACUCCUUUAAUCACUAUUAUUGAUACCAAUGCUACUCAUUAUUUUAUUGCUACUGAUUGUGUUGAAAGAUUGGGUUUUAUGUUCUCUUCUAUGAAGGGAGAAAUGGUCGUCGAUACUCCAGCCAAGGGGUCGGUGACUACUUCUCUUGUGUGUUUAAAGUGUCCCUUGUCGAUCUUCGACAGAGACUUUGCUGUUAAUUUGGUUUGUUUAUAG